GGGCGUUAAGUUGCAGGGUAUAGACCCGAAACCCGGUGAUCUAGCCAUGGGCAGGUUGAAGGUUGGGUAACACUAACUGGAGGACCGAACCGACUAAUGUUGAAAAAUUAGCGGAUGACUUGUGGCUGGGGGUGAAAGGCCAAUCAAACCGGGAGAUAGCUGGUUCUCCCCGAAAGCUAUUUAGGUAGCGCCUCGUGAAUUCAUCUCCGGGGGUAGAGCACUGUUUCGGCAAGGGGGUCAUCCCGACUUACCAACCCGAUGCAAACUGCGAAUACCGGAGAAUGUUAUCACGGGAGACACACGGCGGGUGCUAACGUCCGUCGUGAAGAGGGAAACAACCCAGACCGCCAGCUAAGGUCCCAAAGUCAUGGUUAAGUGGGAAACGAUGUGGGAAGGCCCAGACAGCCAGGAUGUUGGCUUAGAAGCAGCCAUCAUUUAAAGAAAGCGUAAUAGCUCACUGGUCGAGUCGGCCUGCGCGGAAGAUGUAACGGGGCUAAACCAUG
rnacentral:rRNA from 1 species